rnacentral:piRNA from 1 species
CAUCUAUGGAUGAGAAAUGCGGA